rnacentral:misc_RNA from 1 species
UUUCCGUAGGUGAACCUGCGGAAGGAUCAUUAAAGUUAUAGUCCCCCGGCCCUCUGGGCUGGGGUCUUCUAUACCACCCUUGUUUAUUACACCUUUGUUGCUUUGGCAGGCCUGCCCUCGGGCUGCUGGCUCCGGCCGGCUCGUGUCUGCCAGAGGACCUAAACUCUGUUUGUAUAUGAAGUCUGAGUACUAUAUAUAGUUAAAACUUUCAACAACGGAUCUCUUGGUUCUG